rnacentral:rRNA from 1 species
UACGAAGGGGGCUAGCGUUGUUCGGAAUUACUGGGCGUAAAGCGCGUGUAGGCGGCAGACCAAGUCGGCGGUGAAAGCGCCCGGCUCAACUGGGCGAGGUCCGUGGAAACUGGUCAGCUGGAGGACGGUAGAGGCGAGUGGAAUUCCCGGUGUAGUGGUGAAAUGCGUAGAGAUCGGGAGGAACACCUGUGGCGAAGGCGGGUUGCUGGGCUGACACUGACGCUGAUGCGCGAAAGCCAGGGGAGCGAACGGG